rnacentral:SRP_RNA from 9 species
UCAACUUCUCGCAAGGCUGCCUUGUCCACGGAGGGGAUCAGGUGCUUGAUUGUUUCCCGGGUAAGCCUAUAUCUAAUGGCCGGAAGAUUGCAGUGAUAUCCUGCCAUGAGGACGGCAUCACAAAGCAGC